UUGCCCCAGUAACGGCGANGUGAAGCGGCAACAGCUCAAAUUUGAAAUCUGGCCCCAGGCCCGAGUUGUAAUUUGCAGAGGAUGCUUUUGGCGCGGUGCCUUCCGAGUUCCCUGGAACGGGACGCCAUAGAGGGUGAGAGCCCCGUACGGUUGGACACCAAGCCUUUGUAAAGCUCCUUCGACGAGUCGAGUAGUUUGGGAAUGCUGCUCAAAAUGGGAGGUAUAUUUCUUCUAAAGCUAAAUAUAGGCCAGAGACCGAUAGCGCACAAGUAGAGUGAUCGAAAGAUGAAAAGCACUUUGAAAAGAGGGUUAAACAGCACGUGAAAUUGUUAAAAGGGAAGCGCUUGUGACCAGACUUGCGUCCGGUGAAUCACCCAGCUCUCGCGGCUGGGGCACUUCGCCGGCACAGGCCAGCAUCAGCUUGCCGUCGGGGACAAAAGCUUCAGGAACGUAGCUCUCUUCGGGGAGUGUUAUAGCCUGUUGCAUAAUACCCUUCGGCGGGCUGAGGUACGCGCUCCGCAAGGAUGCUGGCGUAAUGGUCAUCAGCGACCCGUCUUGAACGGANNCNAANAANCCCCCC
rnacentral:rRNA from 1 species